rnacentral:misc_RNA from 1 species
GAUGAAGAACGCAGCGAAAUGCGAUAAGUAAUGUGAAUUGCAGAAUUCAGUGAAUCAUCGAAUCUUUGAACGCACCUUGCGCUCUUUGGUAUUCCGAAGAGCAUGCCUGUUUGAGUGUCAUGAAAAUAUCAACCUUGACUUGGGUUUUGUGCUCUAGUCUCGGCUUGGAAUUGGGUGCUUGCCGCUUUUACGAGCGGCUCACCUUAAAUGUAUUAGCUGGAUCUGUCUUUGAGACUUGGUUUGACUUGGCGUAAUAAGUAUUUCGCUAAGGACAUUCUUCGGAGUGGCCUCGUUUCUAGGACGCUUGUCCGCUUUCCAAUACAAGUUCCACCUCGUGGACAUGACUUUUUAUUAUCUGGCCUCAAAUCAGGUAGGACUACCCGCUGAACUUAAGAAUAUAAUAAGCGGAGGA